CACGCCCUAAACGAUGCUCACUAGGUGUUGGGGAAGCGAUUCCUUGGUACCGUAGCUAACGCGUGAAGUGAGCCGCCUGGGGAGUACGGCCGCAAGGUUAAAACUCAAAGGAAUUGACGGGGACCCGCACAAGCGGUGGAUGAUGUGGAUUAAUUCGAUGCAACGCGAACAACCUUACCUACCCUUGACAUGUCUGGAAGGCUGCUGAAAGGUGGCUGUGCCCGAAAGGGAACCGGAACACAGGUGC
rnacentral:rRNA from 2 species